UACGUAGGGGGCUAGCGUUGUCCGGAUUUAUUGGGCGUAAAGAGCUCGUAGGUGGUUCGGUAAGUCGGAUGUGAAAUCUCCAGGCUCAACCUGGAGGGGUCAUUCGAUACUGCCGUGACUAGAGUCCGGAAGAGGAGAAUGGAAUUCCUGGUGUAGCGGUGAAAUGCGCAGAUAUCAGGAAGAACACCCGUGGCGAAGGCGGUUCUCUGGGACGGUACUGACGCUGAGACGCGAAAGCGUGGGGAGCGAACAGG
rnacentral:rRNA from 1 species